UGGGGAAUAUUGCACAAUGGGGGAAACCCUGAUGCAGCGACGCAGCGUGCGGGAUGACGGCCUUCGGGUUGUAAACCGCUUUCAGCAGGGAAGAAGCCUCACGGUGACGGUACCUGCAGAAGAAGUACCGGCUAACUACGUGCCAGCAGCCGCGGUAAUACGUAGGGUACGAGCGUUGUCCGGAAUUAUUGGGCGUAAAGAGCUCGUAGGUGGUUGGUCACGUCUGCUGUGGAAACGCAACGCUUAUCGUUGCGCGUGCAGUGGGUACGGGCUGACUAGAGUGCAGUAGGGGAGUCUGGAAUUCCUGGUGUAGCGUUGAAAUGCGCAGAUAUCAGGAGGAACACCGGUGGCGAAGGCGGGACUCUGGGCUGUAACUGACACUGAGGAGCGAAAGCAUGGGGAGCGAACA
rnacentral:rRNA from 1 species